rnacentral:tRNA from 1 species
AAGGCUUUAGCUUAAUUAAAGUGUCUGAGUUGCAUUCAGGAGAUGUGGGAUAGUGUCCCACAAGUCUUA